rnacentral:rRNA from 1 species
GAUGAACGCUGGCGGCGUGCCUAAUACAUGCAAGUCGAGCGAACAGACGAGGAGCUUGCUCCUCUGACGUUAGCGGCGGACGGGUGAGUAACACGUGGAUAACCUACCUAUAAGACUGGGAUAACUUCGGGAAACCGGAGCUAAUACCGGAUAAUAUAUUGAACCGCAUGGUUCAAUAGUGAAAGACGGUUUUGCUGUCACUUAUAGAUGGAUCCGCGCCGCAUUAGCUAGUUGGUAAGGUAACGGCUUACCAAGGCAACGAUGCGUAGCCGACCUGAGAGGGUGAUCGGCCACACUGGAACGGAGACAGGGUCCAGACUCCGACGGGAGGCAGCAGUGGGGAAUCUUCCGCAAUGGGCGAAAGCCUGACGGAGCAACGCCGCGUGAGUGAUGAAGGUCUUCGGAUCGUAAAACUCUGUUAUUAGGGAAAAACAAAUGUGUAAGUAACAAUGCACGUCUUGACGGUACCUAAUCAGAAAGCCACGGCUAACUACGUG